rnacentral:rRNA from 1 species
UUUUGCAUAUUCAAUAAGCGGAGGAAAAGAAACCAACAGGGAUUGCCUCAGUAACGGCGAGUGAAGCGGCAAAAGCUCAAAUUUGGAAUCUCAGUCUUUCAGGCUGCGAGUUGUAAUUUGAAGACGUAUUUUGAAGUAAGCACAUGUCGAAGUUCCUUGGAACAGGACGUCACAGAGGGUGAGAAUCCCGUGCGAUGUGUUCACUGCUUCAUGUAAAAUGCAGUCGAAGAGUCGAGUUGUUUGGGAAUGCAGCUCUAAGUGGGUGGUAAAUUCCAUCUAAAGCUAAAUAUUGGCGAGAGACCGAUAGCGAACAAGUACAGUGAUGGAAAGAUGAAAAGAACUUUGAAAAGAGAGUGAAAAAGUACGUGAAAUUGUUGAAAGGGAAGGGCUUGAGAUCAGACUCGGGCAACCGGGCCAGCAUGGGGUGGGGGAGUAGGAUAACCCUGCAGGAAAGUGGCUUCGCUUCGGUGGAGUGUUAUAGCCUGUAGCUAUACUGCUACCCUCGCCCGAGGACUGCGGAAACAAGGAUGCUGGCAUAAUGAUCUUAAGCCGCCCGUCUUGAAACACGGACC